AAGAAAUAAAAGAAAUAAAAUAAAAGAAAAAAGAUAGAAAAAAAAAGAAAAAAUACAGAGAUUCAUCAUCUUCUUCGUCUUCCUCAUCUUCCUCAUCUUCCUCUUCCUCCUCA
rnacentral:ribozyme from 1 species